rnacentral:rRNA from 1 species
AGCGAACGCUGGCGGCAGGCUUAACACAUGCAAGUCGAACGCCCGUAGCAAUACGGGAGUGGCAGACGGGUGAGUAACGCGUGGGAACGUACCCUUUGGUUCGGAAUAACUCAGGGAAACUUGAGCUAAUACCGGAUAAGCCCCUGAUCCUUGGGUGGAUUUGGGGGAAAGAUUUAUCGCCGAAGGAUCGGCCCGCGUCCGAUUAGCUAGUUGGUGUGGUAACGGCGCACCAAGGCGACGAUCGGUAGCUGGUCUGAGAGGAUGAUCAGCCACGCUGGGACUGAGACACGGCCCAGACUCCUACGGGAGGCAGCGGUGGGGAAUAUUGGACAAUGGGCGCAAGCCUGAUCCAGCCAUGCCGCGUGAGUGAUGAAGGCCUUAGGGUUGUAAAGCUCUUUCGGCGGGGACGAUAAUGACGGUACCCGCAGAAGAAGCCCCGGCUAACUUCGUGCCAGCAGCCGCCGUAACAC